rnacentral:rRNA from 1 species
AGCGAACGCUGGCGGCAGGCUUAACACAUGCAAGUCGAACGCAUCACUUCGGUGGUGAGUGGCAGACGGGUGAGUAACACGUGGGAACGUACCCUUCGAUCUGGGAUAACUUCGGGAAACUGGAGCUAAUACCGGAUACGCCCUUUUGGGGAAAGGUUUACUGUCGAAGGAUCGGCCCGCGUCUGAUUAGCUAGUUGGUGGGGUAACGGCCUACCAAGGCGACGAUCAGUAGCUGGUCUGAGAGGAGGAUCAGCCACACUGGGACUGAGACACGGCCCAGACUCCUACGGGAGGCAGCAGUGGGGAAUAUUGGACAAUGGGCGCAAGCCUGAUCCAGCCAUGCCGCGUGAGUGAUGAAGGCCUUAGGGUUGUAAAGCUCUUUUGUCCGGGACGAUAAUGACGGUACCGGAAGAAUAAGCCCCGGCUAACUUCGUG